UUUCUUCCCUGUAACGUGACAUCUCUUUUCUUCUGCAUCGGCUCUCCUCCUCCUCUUUCUUCCCUGUAUUCUCCCUGCUCAUUCUCGGGCAGCUGUGCUCCUCUUCUGCUGUUCUUUCCUCCUUGUAUCCUCACUCUUCUGAUGGUUUCCAUUGCAUCUCACCACUGCUCUUUCACCUGCAUCUGCUUUUCUCUUCUGCUGUAUGUUUCCCUGCUUCCUCACUCCUCUUUAUUCUGCAUUGGCUCUACUCUUCUGCUCUUCUUUCUUCCCUCACUCUUUUUCCAUCUGCCCACCUCUUAGGCUCUCCCUUCUUUUCUAUCCUCCCUGCUCUUUCCUCUGCAUUCUCACUCUUCUCCUGUUCUUAUUCCCCUGCAUCAUCCUCACUCCUUUUCCCUCUGCAUCAGCACUGCUCUUCUGUUGGAUUUUGUUUCCUGUUGCCAGACUUGUCUUUAUUCUGCAUCUGCACUCCUCUUCUACUGCUCUUUCUUCUCUGUAUCCUCACUCCUCUUUCUGCUGCCUCUGCUCUCCUCUCUGCUUUUUUUUUGUUCCCUGUAUUCUCACUUGUCUUUCUUCUGACUGCUCUUGAAGAGAGAGAGCAGGACCCUGCAGUUCGAGAGAGAAGGGCCUCACAGCAAGAAAGGGGAAAGCAGCUUCACAAAGUAGAAACAAGGGGCAAAUAGAGAUAGUUUAGGUAGAGAGUGUUAGAAAACAAGGGGUUCCAAGCACUUUCACAGACACUGGGUCUGGAAUAGCAAGGAGGAUGAAGGCCAUAGAGAUAAGGGCUGGAGAGCAGCUCGAAAAAACAUUUGGCAGGGAGGUGAUUAGAUGUCUACAGGGCAAGCUGAAACUGGUUUGGGGGAUGCCCCCCCUUCAGGGUCAGAAGUUUGCAGCGAGGAAGACUACGAGCCUUUGUGAGGAAGACUGCAAGCCUUCAUCAUCACGACCUACUACGCCCGCGCAAGGGGGGGAGAGACUGCAUGCUAAUGGGCUCUCGGGAAUGUAAUGAAGAUGUAUCUGAAUUCCUGUCAACUACUGAUUAUGUAUUAGUUUGACCUGAAGGGAAGAUAAAUCCCUGCAACGUGCUGAACUGCUGUGUAGAAUGAGCUCUGUUUUAAUCUCGUUCCUCUACGAUGCUCAGCUUUCCUAGCUUCUCCCCUGCCUAAGCACACACUUCUGUCCCUUGGCAUUAACCAUCACGCACAGCGGGAUCAAAUCUGAGCUCUGUCUCCUCCUGCUUCUUUCCAGAAGGAUGAGACAAACAGCAGAAAACAACCAGCCUCCACAGCUAACUCGUUUGGGGUUGCUCCGGACGUUUGGAUGUUCCCUUCCAUGGCCCAGGCCAAGCUCGCUGAGCUGCUCCUCCUUUGUGCAGGGGAAGACCGGUGCAGGUGCAAUGCGCUGGCAAAUCCACCUGCAGAAAACACUGCCAUUCCCUUUAGAAACAAAGAAACCACUCUGCCCUUGCUCCUGAGCCUGGUCCCUGCCUCCACCUGCAGGGCUUGGCUAUCCUGCCUCUGUUCGUGGGCCACUAAAUGAAAUCCAGACAACAGAAACAAAAAGAGGCAGAGGACUGGCACUAAUACUUCCCCGUUGGCGGGAAUCUCAACAGAAAGUGCUGUGCUAAAGCUGUGAGGUUCAGGCAACACCCCUAUCAAGGCAAAAGACGUAGAAUGGAAGGCUUGGUUAGUCUUCUGACUAGAAGAAGAGAAAGGACUAUUACCUCCUAUUUUAUUUUUCUUUCAGUCUCUCUCGUCAUGUAAAUCUGAGGAUGACCAAAGCCUGUUGCCCCAAGCAUUGCUGAACCCAUCAAAAUGGUUGCUCAGAGAUAACCCCAUUGGGUGACCCUAAGAUGUGGAGCUGGGAGGCGUCCAUUUCCUUCGCUUAUGAUGAAAGCACCGAGGCGAUGCGGGCACUCGCUGAGGUCACAACCACUGCUGGGGUGGGAGCGUUUGUGCCACAGCUGGUGAGCAGAGCUGGUGCUCUGGUGAGCGUGCUGCACGCAGAGACUGAGCUCUGGGCCUUCUGUGGAACAGAUCACCCUGUGAGAGCCCGACGGAAGCAUCGCGUGUGCACUCGUCGGUACUUUCUGCAGGAUUCCUGUCCCAAAGGAGAUUCCGGGAUUGAGGCGGUCUUAGGAAGAGGGAAGCCAGCUCUUUCCAAGGUCUGGGGAAGUUCCUGCAGAGAGAGCCUCUGGAACUUCAGCUUCCUCUGAGCCUUCAGCAGCCAUGUCUCAGCAAGGAGACGACCGCGGUUCCAAUUGCUGCCGUGUGAGUGGCAAGGUAUGGCUGGGCUUCUUCUGCUUGGUGCUUCCGUUUCCUUGUUUUCAAGGGGAAGGGACGGAGCAAGGGGAGCCCUGCUGGUCCUUGGUGACCUCAGUAACCGGUUGGAUUCAGCGCUCACUGCUGACAGCCUGGGCUAACAACGUGGACGUGGCUCAGGCUGUCUUUUCCCAUAGUGAUAAUCAGUGUCUCAGCACUCUGAUAUCCCAUGUGUGGCACGAUCUGGAACCUCUCUGCAAACCUUGGCUGCCCGUUCCCACCACCGUUUCUCCCUUUCUCUCUUCAGAAGUGGCGCGGUGCGGUUCCCCGCGGUUGGGAGCAGCAGCCAGCAGGCUGCCAGAGAUCCAACCGCGCCUUGCAGCGCACAGGGGGACGCAACAGGGACGGACGGUCCUUCCUGCCAUACAGAAGUGAGUUUCUUCAGCCCUCUGUCGCAAAGUGUGGAGGAAUGAAUUUUGAGUAUUCCUUCUGAGCGGGUGCAGUGCUGUAGGGGAUGUCAAGUAAGCAUCCAUUUGGAGUGCAGGAAGGAGCAGUGCAAAGUGAACUAUCAAUCCGUUUGUGUUUGGGCUGUCAAAGAAGCAUCUUUCUGUUUCCUGGGGGGACGUGGGCUUAUUGCAUGAUAUUUCUGCUGCUGCCUGCUGGUGCCUGUGAAAUCAACGUUGUGGAUUUUUUACAAUGUUUCUGUAGGGAUGGAUCCUGCGCGUAAAUGGAGUGGUGCUGGGCAAGGGGGGAAACGGAAAGCCUCCGCAGGUAAGAAGCUCAUGUGAGCUGUGCUAUGGGUAUGCGCCUCUAAAUAGGGCUGCAUGAAGGGCAGUGUGUGCGAUGGAGGGGAGAGGAAAGGGCACUGCACAUCCGUGCUGGGAACCCAACGUUCAGCCAAGAUCCUAAGAUCCCUUACCGUGAGCACUCGAGACAUUUUAGCAUGAUGGCCCAUUCUGCAGAGUGCAAGGACUGCAAGGACUCUCUUUCAAUCUUGUUGCUUCUCCUUUCCCGAUUAUCACAGAGAGAGGUGCCGAGCCCAACGGAAAGAUCUACGCAAAAGCAGUGCAGGAAGUCCUUCUGGAGAGAGCUCAUCUCCAGGCUGGAGGGCUUCCUACAACAGCAGGUCCCAGCACAGGGGGAAGACCUUCCCCUGCCGUGUGCCCCCGCUCUGUCUCCAAGUCCUUGGCUGGAUGUAAACGCAAGGGCUUGGAAGAAGCGAAGCCAACAGCAGUGCAGCUGCCUGCUAACAAAAGAGUGAGGGGGCUGAGCGGAGACAGCGUGCCAGCUCCAGCAGCACACCCUGGGCCUGCUGCAGUGCAGAGCUCCAAGCUAAGAGGUGAGAAGGUGCUGUGGGACCCACCCUGGUGAGCUGCUGUCCUUUUCAAGCACACUGAGUUUGCUUAGAGUUUGCUUUGCUUUUUCCUUCUCUGUGGAGGGGACAAGAGUGGAAGGCUACAAAGUCCAAAGGCAGUGAGGUGCCAGAACACGUAACCCCGUCUCCUUCCAUUAACUCCAUGGUGGUCUUCUGCACGUCCCCCUGGAAAUGUCAUUCACUGGGAGGCUUCCUAGUCCCGUUUCCUCUGUUUUUUUGCUGCCUUCUGCCUGUACAGCACCCCUGUUUCUGCAGUUGUGCUGCUGACAAAAUGCAUUCAUGUUUAUUCUUGCUUUCUAGCAAGAAGACGCCAAGAGAAAGAGAGAAGAGGGGAAUCGAUGAAGGCUGCCCUCAGAGCUGCCGCUGCACGUGCAGAGGCCUCCGCAGUGAACAGCCUUGUGGAGAUGAUGCAGAAGCUGCAGCUGAAGGACUGAGAGGAGGAGCGUCAGCAGGCAGCGGCUGCAGUGCGCGGCGUUACAGGGCAGCGCUGCGAGUGCCGCCCAACUCGGCACUCCAACUUCAGAUGGAGUCAAUAAAAACCAGUCAC